GAUGAAGAACGUAGCGAAAUGCGAUAAGUAAUGCGAAUUGCAGAAUUCCGUGAGUCAUCGAAUCUUUGAACGCACAUUGCACCUCUCGGUAUUCCGGGAGGUAUGCCUGUUCGAGCGUCAUUUGUACCCUCAAGCUCUGCUUGGUGUUGGGUGUUUGUUCCGCCUCUGUGUGUGAACUCGCCUCAAAACAAUUGGCAGCCGGCGUACUUGUUUCGGAGCGCAGCACAUUUUGCGAUCCAGAUCAACGUACAGCGGCAUCCAAGAAGCCUUAUUUAACGCUCUUGACCUCGGAUCAGGUAGGGAUACCCGCUGAACUUAAGCAUAUCAAUAAGCGGAGGA
rnacentral:misc_RNA from 1 species